rnacentral:lncRNA from 1 species
GUUGCCACAUGGAGAAGAUUCCUUUGGUUGCCUGGUUGAUGACCUUUGAUGAGUGCUUAGAGUCGCUUGGAAUAAAGUAUACCAGCAUGUAAACACUCGUUGAUUUAUCAGAGUAUUGGGCAGUUUCUGGGAAUAUCUUGGGAAAAAAUAUUUUAGUAGGUCAACACUACUUGAUGUUAUAAGCAUGAGUAGGAUUCUAGUUCAUGGGUGUAAUCUCUUGAAUGUGGCCGAUUAUUCAACAAUAGUAUUCAUUUUUAUGUCUAUUGUGAAGUCAAUUUGCAAUAAUGUAACCGCCUCUCUUGAGAGAGGUUGUCCGGCUUGUUUUUAGUCUGAAUGGAUCCUCAUUAAACAAAAUGAUGAACCCUUUGACUUACAGGCAACUUAGAAAACACUAGAACAAAUAUUAAGUACAAUAUAAAGAACGAGCCUUCCUACAUAUGGAGCAGAAUAGUAUACCUAUUAUCUUACACAAUAUUCAAUGCGCCAAUGCUUUUCUUACAUGGAAUAUGUUUUAUUAGGAGGUGUCAUUGGUUUACUCAUUGAAAGAUUAUUGUCUCAGUUUAUUUGGAUAUUGGGAACUCUAAGUACUAGUGUGAUUCUCAUGAAUGAUUUGGCAAUUGAUUAUUAUGCACAAUUCUUCUUACUAGGUUUAUGAAAAUUGGGACUUGUGAGCUCCACGUAGCACUAAUGACAUCUUACUAAAGUGUUCUAAGAGAAGAAUCUGUGGCAAUUCCCAAAUGGAGCAUCAUCAUCAUCAUCAUCAUCAACAUCAUAAUCAUUAGCAUCAUUUAAGCCUUAUCCCAAUAAUUUGGGGUAAGCUUCAUGAACCUUGUUCCUUCAAUUUUUUGAAUCCUGUUCCUCCAGUUUUUGAAUCAUGUUCCUUCAUUCUUCUCUAUUAAGAGCCAAACCAUCAGUGAGACCAAAAGUCACUAUAUCUUUUUUUAGUGCUUCUAUCCAUGUCCGUUUGGGCUUUCCUUUUUCCCUUUUAGAGCCUUUCACUCGAAUCAAAUCACACUUCCUUAUCAGCGCUGCAUUAGGUCUACAUUGCACAUGGCCAGCCCAUCGAAGUUUUCUUUCACUAGUCUUAUCGCCUAUUGAAGCCACACUUAAGUUCCCUCAUAUAUAUUCAUUUCGAAUUCUAUCAUUUCUUGUCUUGUCACUCAUCCAUCUCAACAUCCUCAUAUAAGUUACACUCAUCCUAUGGAUAUGUUGUUUUUUGAUAGCUUGAUAUUCUAUUUUAUAAAGCAUGGUUAGUCUUACAGCCGUCCUAUAGAACUUCUCUUUUAGUCUCAAUGGUAUGCAGCGAUCACCUAAAACUCCGGUUGCACAUCUCCACUCCGUCUAAUUCUAUGUGUGACAUCUUUCUCAAUCUCUCCAUUCUUUUGGAUUGUCGACCUUAGAUAUUGGAACAAUCUCUUUUAGGUAUUUCUUGACCAUCACUUAACUUUUUCUUGGUUUCUACUCCUAUUAUUACUAAACUUGCAUUCCAUAUAUAUUGCCUUGGGCCGUAUAAUUUUAAAACCUUGCGUUGUUCUAGUUUCAUCGAUCAAAACUGUGUUGACUGAAGAAUAUGAAUCCCAAAUUAUCUCACUUCUUUCUGAAGUCUUCCUGUAAAUGACCUCACUGUUUGGAAUCUUGAAAAAUAUUGUCUUUCAUAGAUUUCCUAGAGAAGGGAGAUGUGCCAAGACAAAGCUAUAACACGCACCAUGAGUCGACACAUCCUGCCUACUGAAAAUAAAAGUGCGCGAAUACACCAAAGGAUGUCUCCAAAGCCACAAGAAGACAGCAGCUUCUUAUUCAUCAAUGAUGGUGCACAAUCCUCUCUUCCCCAACAGAAAGGGGUUUGGAGUUGGCAAUGGGCUGGCCCGGCCUGGUUCACCUUGAUCCGCCUGGCCUUAAAAAACUAGGACCUUGCCACAAAAUGUGGUACAAGGGCUUGGCUACCAUUGGCCAAGGAUAUAGGGCUGGGGGGGGCCAGGCCAGGGCCAAGUCCAAGACACGGC